UAUUUGCUGAUGUAUAUAUUUUAUAUACUGUUUUUUAUUUAAUCAAUUUAUUUGAGACCAUUUUAUGCUUUAUUUACCUUUUAUUAUUACUAUUUUAUUUAUUAUUAUUAUUAUUUCUACAUGUAUGCAUAAAUGAUUGAAUUAAUGCGCUAGAGUGAGCACUGACGCUCGGAGCUGUGGAGAGAAAUCCUCUGUACUGUGGACCGUGUGUGACGCCCUGUUCUUUUUGUUUCCAUUAAAAAAAAAAAGGGACAAGAGAAUACUUUUGCUCCUGCCUCUUCUCUUUCUCUUCUCCCAUCCGCUGCUGGGCCCGCUGCCUCCAGCAAGCCCAGACUCUCUGCAGACGACUUUGCUCUUCGUGAAGAAUGGCCUGAGGGUGUGCAACACCCAGGUGCACAGGCGCUGCCUGGAGAUUAGCAAGCCUUUUCUGCAGAGUAAACUCAAUCCAGGAGUUCAGGUAUCGUGGCAACAAGUGCUCUGCAAACCAGAUAUCCGCACGCCACUCCAGCUCCUGCAUCACAAUCGCCAAAUAAAUUAUGUGUAGAUGUCUUAAAG